rnacentral:lncRNA from 1 species
GCAAGUACAGGUACCAACUUUCGACUAACUAAUAUAGGCAUUUAUUUACAACCCUAAUUCUUGUGCUUUUUCUUGGCUUCUUAUUCUUCUUUAGUCUGACCUUUAACAACAUUAAUCCUUUUUCUCAGGUUGUGUAAUGUAAUCAUGAAGACUUUGCUCGUUGCUUCUGUUGCUCUUCUGUUGGUUAUUGGAUCUCUUGAAGCAAAUGCCAAGAGGGUUUUUUUCCAUGGCCGUCAGCUUCUGAAUGAUGCAAAUCCUAGCCGAAAAGUUACCACUGGUCCUAACCACAAAAGAGCUGCUCCUGCGGUUCAAGUUGAUCAAGUUAAUGAUGACGAUGAUGAUCCGGAUUCUGGAUCAGAUUCCCACCGCUAUUACCCAUGCGAGCAGCGCAACUGCAAGAAGACAUGACUGUGAUGGCAUUUGCACGACAGCUUCGAAGAUUGCGUGAAAUUGAGCGCUUGUAAUAACGUUAGAUGAACUCCCAAGUGUCCAAAAAAAUGUGUAACAUACUACUAUCGUACCAGCAUAACAGCUGGACUUGUCAGUUUCCCGUUAAAAAGUAUUAAUUUGUCUGUUUAAGAUUUGUAAUAAAUCUUGGCUGUGUUGCUGCUUCUCGUGCGUA